rnacentral:rRNA from 1 species
AUUGAACGCUGGCGGCAGGCCUAACACAUGCAAGUCGAACGAGUGGCGGACGGGUGAGUAAUGUCUGGGAAACUGCCUGAUGGAGGGGGAUAACUACUGGAAACGGUAUCUAAUACCGCAUACCCUCGGAUGUGCCCAUAUGGGUUUAGCGAGUAGGUGGGGUAAAGGCUCACCUAGGCGACGAUCCCUAGCUGGUCUGAGAGGAUGACCAGCCACACUGGAACUGAGAAACGGUCCAGACUCCUACGGGAGGCAGCAGUGGGGAAUAUUGCACAAUGGGCGCAAGCCUGAUGCAGCCAUGCCGCGUGUAUGAAGAAGGCCUUAGGGUUGUAAAGUACUUUCAGCGGGGAGGCGUUACCUGCAGAAGAAGCACCGGCUAACUCCGUGCCAGCAGCCGCGGUAAUUC